rnacentral:rRNA from 1 species
AAUCAGUUCAGCACUAAGUCACUUUGUCUUUAUGGCAAAUGUGAGAUGCAGUGUAUGGAAUGUCAAAUUUCUAGUAUGAGAAAUUAAUGAUUUAAGUCCUUCUUAAAUGAGGCCAUUUACCCAAAGAGGGUGCCAGGCCCGUAUAACAUUAAUGAUUACUAGAUGACAUUUCCAAAGAGUCGUGUUGCUUGAUAGUGCAGCACUAAGUGGGUGGUAAACUCCAUCUAAAACUAAAUAUAGCCAUGAGACCGAUAGUAAACAAGUACCGUGAGGGAAAGUUGAAAAGAACUCUGAAUAGAGAGUUAAAUAGUACGUGAAACUGCUUAGAGGUUAAGCCCGAUGAACCUGAAUAUUCUUUAUGGAAAAUUCAUCACUAUAAUUAUAUAAUAUAAAACAAUUAAUAUUAUAAUAGUGUGCAUUUUUUUCAUAAGGGACAUUGUGAUCUAUUAACUUAUAUAUAAAUUUAUCAUAAGAUCAUUAUGCGUAAGUUUAACAAUGUAAAUUUUGCUUGCAAUUUUUAAUAUUGGAUAAAUGCUUUUGAUUUGAUAAAGUGUUGAUAGAUAUAAUUAUAACAGUGCUUAAAUAUAUAUUAUAUAUUUUAUAAUAGCAUAUUAAUCAUUGAUUUUUAUGUUUAUUAUUAUGCACUUGUAUGAUCAACAAUGCGAAAGAUUCAGGAUACCUUCGGGACCCGUCUUGAAACACGGACCAAGGAGUCUAACAUAUUUGCAAGUUAUUGGGAAUAAAAACCUAAUAGCGAAAUUAACAUAACUUAAAUUAUAUUUAUAUAUUUAUAUAUAUAUAUAAUAAUGGGAUUAGUUUUUAGUACUAUUUUAUUAUAGUCUAUUAAUUCAAUCCCGGGGCGUUCUAUCAGUUAUGUAUAAUAAUAUUUUAUAUUAUUUAUACCUCUAACUAGAGCGUACCUUGAGCAUAUAUGCUGUGACCCGAAAGAUGGUGAACUAUACUGAUC